CGCGUAGGCGGCGUUUCAAGUCGCAUGUGAAGGACCAGGGCUCAACCUUGGGGGGUCAUGCGAAACUGGAAUGCUUGAGUGCAGUAGAGGGAAGCGGAAUUCCUGGUGUAGCGGUAAAAUGCGUAGAGAUCAGGAGGAACACCGGUGGCGAAGGCGGCUUUCUGGGCUGUAACUGACGCUGAUGCGCGAAAGCGUGGGGAGCAAACA
rnacentral:rRNA from 1 species